rnacentral:lncRNA from 11 species
CCUAAAUAUACUUGCCCAUGAGCAAGAAGAGCUGAGAGGAGUGAGACAUGCUGAUAAGCAAACUGCUGAUGACUGAGAACAGAGUUAAAUCAAGUCCUCCAGCAUGUUUAUAUGGUCAACAUCUACCAGAAGGGGUUAAGCAUAUAUAAAAAUACUGUCCCAG